rnacentral:rRNA from 1 species
AUUGAACGCUGGCGGCAGGCCUAACACAUGCAAGUCGAACGGUAACAGGAAGCAGCUUGCUGCUUCGCUGACGAGUGGCGGACGGGUGAGUAAUGUCUGGGAAACUGCCCGAUGGAGGGGGAUAACUACUGGAAACGGUAGCUAAUACCGCAUAAUGUCGCAAGACCAAAGAGGGGGACCUUCGGGCCUCUUGCCAUCGGAUGUGCCCAGAUGGGAUUAGCUUGUUGGUGAGGUAACGGCUCACCAAGGCGACGAUCCCUAGCUGGUCUGAGAGGAUGACCAGCCACACUGGAACUGAGACACGGUCCAGACUCCUACGGGAGGCAGCAGUGGGGAAUAUUGCACAAUGGGCGCAAGCCUGAUGCAGCCAUGCCGCGUGUAUGAAGAAGGCCUUCGGGUUGUAAAGUACUUUCAGCGGGGAGGAAGGGGUUAAGGUUAAUAACCUUAGCCAUUGACGUUACCCGCAGAAGAAGCACCGGCUAACUCCGUGCCAGCAGCCGCGGUAAUACGGAGGGUGCAAGCGUUAAU